ensembl:lncRNA
CACUUUUCCAUUUUCUUGCUCUUGAUUAAAGAGCACUGAGAAUCUCUCAAAAUAGAAGCGAGGCUUGAAUUACAUCUGCCUCAAAAGGAAGGAAGAUAACAAGAAAACGAAGAGAAAACUUAAUUAAUUGUUGUUUGUAUCAUGUAGGGCUUUGCUAGAGGAACCUUCUCCUUACCUGAUGAAGCUGUGGUAAAGCAUAGAAGAUAGAUGAGGGAAUCAUGACUGUACAGAUAAGCCAUGCUAACCACCACUGCUGACAUCAGUGGUGACACACAAACCAACAGAGCACCUCAAGUCCUUCCCACAGCAUUUGGGAUAAGCUCCAAAGCAUCUGCCCAGAACAAAGUGCUCCCAACAGGACCUUCAUUCAGUGACUGGUCUAACCGGCACAGCUCUCUCACCAUCACCUCUCUUCGACCAGAGCCAUAGGUUCCCCUCGCUUCCCAGCCCAAGCCUCAGCCUGCAGACCUGGGUUGAUAUGGUUUGUGUUACUCAGCUACUCACUGAAGACUUUUGUGCCUUCAUUUAAUCAGUAAACUGAAGACAUCGUGUACCUGCCCCACAAGGAGA